UACGUAGGGGGCGAGCGUUGUCCGGAUUUACUGGGCGUAAAACGCUUGUAGGUGGCCACGCCAAGUCGGACGUGAAAUCUCCCGGCUUAACUGGGAGGGGUCGUUCGAUACUGGCGGGCUCGAGGCAGGUAGGGGGAAGCGGAAUUCCCGGUGUAGUGGUGGAAUGCGUAGAUAUCGGGAGGAACACCAGUGGCGAAGGCGACUUCCUGGCCUGUUCUUGACGCUGAGGCGCGAAAGCCAGGGGAGCAAACGGGG
rnacentral:rRNA from 1 species